rnacentral:rRNA from 1 species
CCUACGGGAGGCUGCAGUGAGGAAUAUUGGUCAAUGGACGAGAGUCUGAACCAGCCAAGUAGCGUGAAGGAUGACUGCCCUAUGGGUUGUAAACUUCUUUUAUAUGGGAAUAAAACGUUCCACGUGUGGGAUUUUGUAUGUACCAUAUGAAUAAGGAUCGGCUAACUCCGUGCCAGCAGCCGCGGUAAUACGGAGGAUCCGAGCGUUAUCCGGAUUUAUUGGGUUUAAAGGGAGCGUAGGUGGAGUGUUAAGUCAGUUGUGAAAGUUUGCGGCUCAACCGUAAAAUUGCAGUUGAAACUGGCAGUCUUGAGUACAGUAGAGGUGGGCGGAAUUCGUGGUGUAGCGGUGAAAUGCUUAGAUAUCACGAAGAACUCCGAUUGCGAAGGCAGUUCACUGGACUGCAACUGACACUGAGGCUCGAAAGUGUGGGUAUCAAACAGGAUUAGAUACCCUUGUAGUC